UGCUUUUACAGUGCUUUUAUAUAAGCUUCUAAAAUAAUAGAGGUUCUAAUGCAUAAGAUCAAUAGAGGCUGCAGAGGGAUGUAGGUUCAGCAAGCUCCAUCACAGCCACAAGAUCCCCAACAUUCAGGACAGUUUCAAAACCUGGUGCCUCUAGACGGCAGUAUCCAUCAUGAAGGACCUUCACCAAAUGGUACAUGCCCUCCUUUCAUAAGUGGCAGCAGAAUCAGAUAUGAUUGUGUCAUUCAAGAGGCAUUUAUGUAGGCACAUGAAUAUGCAGGGAAUGAAGGAAUAGGGAUCAUGUAGAGGCAGAAGGCAUUAAUUUAAUUUGGUGUCAUGCAUGGCCCUGACAUUGUAAGCCAGGCGGCCCGUUCCCAUACUGUGCUGUUUUAUGUUCUAUUUGCUUUUAGGAGGCUAACGAGGUCAAUGUGGUAGCUGCCGACUCUUCCAUAGAUGGGGGAAGUCCUGUGGAUUGACCAUGGAGAAAAUAGAUUCACAAAUCAAAGCUGUGCACCUCUAUCAUCCUACAAGUUAUCCCUGAGUUAUGAACAGAUUCGGCUCUUACAGAUACCCAUGAGAUGAUUUUGUCGAUUCUGCCUGACCUAUUGAGUUUCUACAGCAUUUUGUAUGUUUAUUGUAGUUGAGUGGUGCCUCUCUAAGACCAACCCUACGUCCCUGUUGUGAGAAUUGGAAACGGGUAGGGCCAGCCAACAGGGAUCCGGUGAAGUUGUAUAGGCCGAUACCCUGUGGGUGCAAUGGAUUACAGAAACAUUGAUGGACUGCAAUCAUGCCAUCGACUUUGGGCAAUGGAGACAGGAGGUCAUCAAUGGCCUAUGCUCCAUCGGGAGCUAAGAGCCCAAGAAGAAGACGAAGCAGCUGAGUGGUGGAACUUGGAAGGAUUUGAAGGGAACAUGGGCAGAGUUAAAAUGGGAUUAGUGUAGAUGGAUACUCAAUGGCCAGCGUGAAGUCAGUGGGCCAAUGCUCCAUCAUUUUAUACAGUAUAUGGUUCUUCACAACAAUAGCAAACACAAUCACUGUAACUUAUUGGCAUAUUAGAAAAAUAUACCUCAAGAUAACAUUUUUAAUACUGGAAUAAAUGUAUAUGUGUGUAAUUUAAUGAUCUACAAAGUCACAGAGAAUUUCAGUUGUUUCAUUGUGAAACCGCUGAUUUUUAUUUCAACUGUGCAUACAUGUACUGGUUCAUAUGACCAUAACUCAA